ACGACGUUAGCUCAAUCGGUAGAGCAGCGAGUACGUCUCGCGGGUAGCCGGUUCGAUUCCGGCACGUCAUU
rnacentral:tRNA from 1 species